AAGAGCCAGAGGCACUGGGCCCAGAAUCCUACCGUGGAUGGAGACUCCCGUGAACCGGCAGAAUACCUGGACCGAAAGGUGAGGCAGCGGAGUUUGGAGAGAUACAGGUCGAAUCUGAAAGGCACCAGGGAAGCCAGAGGUCUGGUCAGUCCCUAGUUGAAAGGACUCCCUUCAUGGCUCACCUCACCUUCCACCCCCCGCUCUGGUAAUGGUCUCGCCCGAUUCCCGUUCUCUUCUACCACUCCAGGACGUACCAAGUUUCCAGAAGAGGGAUGGGGGGCAGUGGGCCUGGGGGCGGAAAGGACCAUUCGGCGAGCGAGACCAUUGACACGGAGGUCAGAAGAAAAUGGGGGGAAGGGCGAAAGGGGGCCCACACGGUUGGAAGAGGAGCGGAGAGGCCUUCGGGAGACCCUUGUUGGAAGGGCGCGGGGCCUGGAAGACCUUUAUCGGGAAAAGAAGGCGGGGCCUCUGGAUGGGCGGGUUCAUUGGUGGGGAGGUAGGAGGUUGGGGUGGGCGAGUUCAUUGCGUGUCCGACUGAGGGGGACGGAGUUGGUUGGGAGAGACCAUUGUUAGUCUGGGGAGAUUUGGGCAGUUCUUGAGGAGCAACCUCUUCAUGUAUGAAUGGGGAGGGUCCGGGUGAGUGUGUGCGCGGGUAACAGGUUUGAAUUGUGCCUUGAAGCAGGAGCUGGACUGUGACAGAGGCUCUGAGAUCCGGGCGAACAACAGGUGCAAACGCCCCACAGUGGAAGAGUUAAGGAUCUAUUUGCAGAAGAGGGGGCUGCGCCGGAAUCCCCCUUUGCCUCCUCACCACCGGGAGCUGACUGACAGCAGCCUCACCUCACCCUCUCUUUGGCAUCUGGAGCCCAAGGACUGAGUCAGGGACAGACCUCACCUCAUGAAGGCAGGAGACGGAGAAGCGGGUCCUGGAGACCCCCCAGACUGUCUGGGGUUCGAUCCAGGUCAGCUGAGGAUACACCCUGAAGAGCCUGAGGUCCCAGAAGAAGAGGUGAGCUCCCUGAUCCCCACCUCACCCCAGUAGGAGCAGAGAUUCAGGCAGCUGUGAGUGAGUGUGAGUCCCAGAUCUAUCACUUCCUGGCUUUGUGACUUGGCCCAUGGACACACUGCUGUGUAUUCACUUAAAUUUUGGUGAACUCCGAAUAAAGAUCAGUACCCGCG
rnacentral:lncRNA from 1 species